ensembl:lncRNA
UGUGCUUUGGUGGCCAAGAAGGCCAAUGGUGGCCUGGGAAGGAGGAGAACCACAAGGCAGCACUGUGCUUUGGUGGCCAAGAAGGCCAAUGGUGGCCUGGGCAGGAGGGGGACUAUGAGCCAGCAGUGUGCUUUGGUGGCCAAGAAGGUCAAUGGUGGCCUGAACAGGAGGACCACGAGCCAACACUGUACUUUGGUGGCCAAGAAGGUUGAUGGUGGCCAAGGCAAGAGGACCAUGAGCCAGCAGUGUGCUUUGGUGGCCAAGAAGGCCAAUGGUGGCCUGUGCAGGAGGAGGACCACGAGACAGCAGUGUGCUUUGGUGGCCAAGAAGACCAACGGUGGCCUGGGCAGGAGGAGAACUAUGAGCCAACAGUGUACUUUGGUGGCCAAGAAGGUCGAUGGUGGCCAAGGCAAGAGGACCAUGAGACAGCAGUGUGCUUUGGAGGCCAAGAAG